rnacentral:rRNA from 1 species
UGGGGAAUAUUGCACAAUGGAGGGAACUCUGAUGCAGCGACGCCGCGUGAGUGAUGAAGGAAUUCGUUUCGUAAAACUCUGUUCUAUGGGAAGAAAAGGACUGUACCAUAGGAGAAAGCUCCGGCUAAAUACGUGCCAGCAGCCGCGGUAAUACGUAUGGAGCGAGCGUUGUCCGGAAUUAUUGGGCGUAAAGGGUGCGCAGGCGGCUUUACAAGUUGGAUGUGAAAUAUUGUGGCUCAACCACAAACGUGCAUCCAAAACUGCAAAGCUUGCGUUAAGGAGAGGUAAGGGGAAUUCCUGGUGUCGCGGUGGAAUGCGUAGAUAUCAGGAGUAAUACCGGUGGCGAAGGCGACUUACUGGACUUAAACUGACGCUCAGGCACGAAAGCGUGGGGAGCAAACAGG